AUGUUUACUGAAAUGUAUUCACUUCACGUAGCCUUCUUCACUUCUAUUUAACCGAACGCUUUUCU
rnacentral:lncRNA from 1 species